ensembl:lncRNA
AACCUGCUGUGUGAAAUGCUCCAUUUAGUGUCGGUCUUCACACACUUUGUGGGUUGGUAGACUCAACAAAUACCCAAAUGCAUGUGCAGGAUGUUAUGGAUGUUAAGGAUCGGUUAUUUUAGCCAGAUGUCCAGUAUGAACAAUGAAAUGGGCUUUCAGUGGAAGUGAUGGGGAACCAAGUCAACUGAGAAAACAAAUGUAUGAAAGAAUUCAUGUUGAGACAAUGCAAAGCUUCAAAAAGUUUUAAGACAAAGGUCUGUUUGAUACUAUCCCUUCACUAAACACACGGUGACAAAUAGAAUUUUGUACAAAGAAAGGCUGAGAUUUGGUUUCAGCCUCAUGUGAAGGGGAGCCUGACGCAGAACAUGUGACUUGGGUGUUAUUUGAGCUGGUUUGAUGUGUAGCUGUCGAGGAGCCGGUGUGCUCCACCCAUGUGCUCCACCCAUGUGACCACACGGAGGAUUAAGAGAGCAGCGAACAACCAGAGGGAAGCGGACCAUGAAAGCCAAGCAGAGAGUGGAAGACACGAGGAACGAGUGAACCGCAGUUCAAGCUGAGACGUGACUGCAGAGCUCCGGUGCCACAAACGGCCAGUCACGUCCUCCGGCGCUGGUUGGUAAACACAGGACGUGUUGCUUCUAAAGGCAGCAGAUCAAACUGAAUCAAAACGAUUCAACCCCCAUUGUGUGUUACGCUUAUUAGCAAAUUGUACAUUUUUUUAGCGGUUUGUAAUAAAGAAAGUAGACAAGAACAGUUGAAAUAGUUCAAUAAAACCAAUAUUACCAUAGUUUUUAUCCAAAUGUAACACAAAAUGCUACUUUAAUCACUACUGAUUAUUCAUGACAAGCAUCUUCAGUGCUUAACAGAGCACCCUCAUUAUUUAUGUGCAUGAGAUAGAAGACACACAUUUCUGGACUGCCCACGGCUUUGUUGAGAGCGACAGUCGAUGAUGUUAAAAGAACAGCUCAGAGAAGUUACAUUGCUUUGAAAAACAAGGAUAAGAGUACAAAAAUAUAUCAUCAAAAGUGCUGAAUGUCCCGAGAGAUGCAGUUGGAAGCAUAGUUUGCAAGUUAAAAGUGAAGGAACAGUGGACACACAAGCUGAGGUGCUCCUGAGGUGGAAACACCUGCAGCAAGACUCGCUCGGUGCUCUACCAACUGAAGAUGCUGGUCAUGAAGGCGUUGAAUCAUUUUGAGAUUGCACUAGUCAUUUUGUGUUGAAUUUGGAUAAAAAGAUUGUAAUAUUAGUGUCAUUGAACUACUUAAACAGUGCCUGUCUACAGCUGAGAAAAAAAUAAAGCUAAUGUGCAGUUCAAUAAUUUGCAUUGCAACUGUAAUGUGAGAACUGGUUCAACUGGUUUGCCGAAGGCUUUUUGUGGAAACACUGAGCGUGUUACAACGGGACUCUGUUUAAACAAGGAAGCUGAGCAGAUAUCUAAAUGAUGAUCAUCUUACACGAAGGGAAUACCAGACACAGCAUUUCACACGGUGUAUCAUAUCCGCUUGUAACAGAAUACAAGUUUUGAAAUAAAGAAAUACACUGACUCAAUACACCCAGAGGCCGACCCCUGUAUUCACACAUUCACCCCGGGGUCCAGUGGCGUCAUCCCGGGUCACACGGAGCCUACCUGGUCAUUCUCUUUGCUGCCUGCAGCGUUUCCCACUUCUCCGUCCCUCCUCGUCUGCGGCUCCUCCAUCCUGCGCUGCAGCUGAACAGUGCAGCGCGCCGAGGGAUCAGCCGGGUCGGGCCCACUGAGCCACGCCUCCCUUGCUGGAACAACACCAGUGGGAGACGGCCACUUCCUUUGAUUAACCUAGUAGGAGUGUUGGACUGGUGAAACGAUCACAUUGGGGGCUAACAGACAGCUGUCACUCCAAAGCAGGAAGAGAACAUGGACGUCCAAACGAACUUUGGUAGAAGGAUAAAGGCUUGUCAGAUCUUUUCCACAACCAGUGUUACUGUUCUAAUAAAAGUUGGUAUAGUGGGAAUAGACACAAAUAUACCUCCUGAAUCACGUGGAGCGGAGGGGGUUACAAUAAAAGCUGAACAUACAAAGUGAAAUGCACAAAAGUUGAAAGCCAUAAGGAGCCACUCAGGAGCAGAAGGCUCUUUGUGUUGGAUGAUUCCUAGAGAGCUGGUACAGACAAUGAGGCGACAGCAGCACCCACUCAGUCAGCAUGUUAAACCAGAUACAUGAAGGGCUGGCUUUGGUUUUGUGGUAUUUUGCACAAGAAAAAGCAACCAGCUGACCAAAAAGAGAGACACACCUACAACGUCCCUGUGUUUAUGCAGCUGCCAGACCAACUUCAGUUCAAAUAUUUGUGUAAAACAAUAUCACUAGUCACAUAUUUACCUCGGAGGGCUUUCCCUGUACAACCUGCAGAGAGAGAGACGAGCUCUGCAAAGGAGAAAGUACAAACGACUCCAGAAUUGGCGGAUGCAUUUGGAACACAAUGCAAACGCGUCAGAAAUGGCAGCAGUUCUUCACAAGGAGUCGGACUGGCCACUGGGAGUUGUGGUAAAAGCUGUUUCCAGCAGAGAUGGACUGUUUGGGAAAACAAAGGAGAGGUGACAAAGGUCUUCAGAACUGGUUCAGAAGAACCAAUCUGUUUAGCUGUAUUCAGUAUGGGCUCCUAGACGAAGCAGAGGGGUGUUCUGACCCUGCUGGUCUCUUGCACUGACGGUUGGUCUGAGGAACAUAUGAGGGGACUCUCACUCAGGCAUGAUCCUGAUCAAUGUGAGAAGAGAGAUUGAAGCAUAUAGUUAGAACCUUUUGUUUUGAUUACAAACCUAAUAUGUAUGUGUGAUCUGAACACGUUCCUUUGUCUUCCAAGUGCUUUUCAAAUUGGUAUUUUGAAUAACUCAUUCUUUGUGGCAACUAUUGUUGUAAAUGUGAUGAGGAUCGGCUGUGAGAAGAGGACAGAUCGAGACCCCGUCUCUUGGUUUUUCUUGUGUGGAACGGGGCCGAGGCCCGAGGCGCUUCCAUUGGGCUUCCUGGAAUUGAAAACAGGCCGAUCAAAUGGGUGCAGCGCCUGCUGACUCUUCGUUGAAGGAGUACACGGAACAGGCUACUAUACAUAUGAAAGAAGCACCUCCCGACCAAUCAGCUGGGAGGAAACAGUGAGUCACUAUUCUGCAGGAUCCAGUGUGUACAACAUAUUGCACUCACAAGGUGUAGAUGUUGAUGGUUGAACCAUGAUCCCUCGGUGGUUCUAAAACAUCUACAGUUAUAACAUAACAUAGUGUGUGUAAAUAGAGGGUACAUACACAUAUUAUUGUCCUAUACUGUAAAUUAAAAGGGCUUCACACAUGCACACUGUAGACUAACGCUUUCCUCUCCUGCAUUAACAACAUUAUUAUCAUUAUUAUUUAGAAGGUAACAAAAAGAUUUAGUAAAGAAAAUCAUUGUUAUAUACGUUCAUGUUGUUCAUCAGACCACAUUCCAGGCUCGUGAACACGUUGGGAGUAAGUGACUAUCACAAAGGCUCAAGUGCAUUGUGUCUCAUGCAGACACAGCGCUGUUGUUUGUUGAACGUGCUUCUUGAGAGGCCCUGCAUGGAGAAGAUAAACGUCAACAGUCUGGACGUCCUCCCCUGGGGCGCUGCGGUCAUUUCCUCAAUACCAGGAAGUCACAAAUAAAGCACAUUCUUCCUUCUGUGCAACUCCGGAUCUCACCGUUUUUAUACAAACUACUGCUGGAGUCAGGAACACACAAGUCCAAGCUGGAGUAACUGACACAUGUGUAGUAAGUACAGUAACUAAAAGACAAUGUCCUCCUUGAUCUUCUGCUCGAUGGUUACUGGCUGCUAUUCACUGACCUUUACACUUGAUUUGGGAAUUUUUGGUUCUUGUCCAAAGACUGAGGGGACCCAGUAGCUUUAGACUUGAGUGCAGUACCUCUUAUGAGUUCAUGUUUCACGCAAACUCAGUCAUUUUAAACUUUCCAUAUUGUAUUUUAUGUGUGCGUGUCAAGGAGAAGACACAGAGACGCGACAGGAAACAGGGGUCUGAUAUCUCAGGAAACUUGCUUCCUGCUUGCAAUAACCAAAGGGGCAGUGAAAGGUCAUGUGAGGGGCGUGGAGGAGGAGCUGCAAGGUCAUGUGAUGGGCGUGGAGGAGGAGCUGCAUGGUCAUGUGAUGGGCGUGGAGGAGGAGCUGCAAGGGCCACAAAGCAUGUUCCAUUUUCUAUGAUAAGUAAUGAAUUGCUUAUAUUUCUGUUCUUUUGGAAAACUUUUGAUAUUGACAUAAUGCUUUUUUUUCGACAUUGACAUGACACAUCUUCAACCAGUGGCAGAGUAAAAAGAGGAAGUAAGUUGUGGCUUAUAUAAAUGUACACAUGGGUACAAAUGUAGUGACCAGCAUAAUAUGUGUGAGCGUCAGUGCUGUCGUUCAUCCCAUGGUGGGAUGUAGCUCAUGUAAAAGUGACUGGGAGCUGAUGUUCCAUGAGAGAGCCUUUAGCGUGUUGACUGUUGUUUGGUGAGGCCACGGCAACUCGGGUUUACACGCCCAAGUCAUAAGUUUGAAUGGAAAAAAAAAGGUUUGAAAUUUUUAAAUAUAAGAUUUAAAUCUGAAAUAUAUCUGAAAAUAUAGAUAGAAAUAUAUAAUACAGUGAAUAUCAAUAAAUACAUAUAUAUAAAUAAAAAUACAUAAGUGAAGAUUGGAAAAAAAUGUAUAUAAAGAACUGAGAACUCAGUCAAAACUAUAUUCAACUCAAAAAUACUGUUAUGUUGGAUACAUUGAUGUAUUUUUCAAUGUUCAAGACCAAAACGUUCACUUUCAGGUUGACAUUUGUUUUUCAACCAACUUUUGACCUGGAUUUGGCUCCAUUGUCAUGAGCGAACACAAGACGAACCCUCUACUACUGCUGCCCCCUACUGGGUCACAACACGGCAUGAUUUAACUUGAUGUUUCUCUUUAACGUUUUCUUUCUACAUCUCACCACAACAAUCACUCACUAAGAAGUUAUGCAUUCAAUUCAAUUAAUUCCUUUUAUUUGGUAUAGGCCAAAAUUGCAAAUUACAAGUUUGCCUCAGAGGGCUUUACGGUCUGUACACAUACAACAUCCUCUGUCCCGAAACCCUCCAUCAGCACAGGAACAACUCCCCAAACAGGAAAAACCCUUUGAUGGGGAGAAACCUACAAUGAUGUCAUGUGUACAGAAUGAACAAUGUAGAAGAUGAACGAUACAUUCAGUUCAUACGACAGAAAUGGUUCAAAUAAUUGUGAGUAGUAAGCAGGUGUACAACAGGACCACCAUCACAUAGAACCACCAUCACAUAGAACCACCAUCACAUAGAAUCACCGUCAGAUAGAACCACCGUCACAUAGAAUCACCGUCACAUAGAACCACCAUCACAUAGAACCACCGUCACAUAGAACCACCAUCACAUAGAACCACCGUCACAUAGAAUCACCGUCACAUAGAACCACCGUCACAUAGAACCACCGUCAGAUAGAACCACCAUCACAUAGAACCACCGUCAAAUAGAACCACCGUUACAUAGAAGUUCUAUGUAUACCUCAAAGUUCCCUGCGCCUUGUAUUCUUCCGUUGGAAUAAUCCGAAAUAAACUUGGUGUAAUUUUAAAACAGCGAAGACUACGUUUCCUAUUGUUAAACAUAUAAACGCCGUAGUCUGAAUCAUGUUCAUCUGCGCUGUAUUACGGUCUGUGAGCAUCCAAUCAGUGCCUUGCGGCUGCAGCAGCGACCAAUCAGGAUCCAGGAGGUGUGUAAACACGUUGUGGAUCAGCCCUGUGGCCCCCGACCUUUCUUACCUCACGGACCGGUUCCAUGUCAGACAAUGUAGGGGCCAUUAUAUGUUGUUGUUGGCAAAGUGUAUUUUGUUUGUUAGACUGUAUUUAUAUUGACACUUUGGACACUAGGUGGCGGUGAUUAGGUGCACAUGGGUGUACAUAAGGGACGUAGGUGACAGGAAGCGAGGGACAGGUAGGGGAGCACCAGACCACGAAGACAGACCACCGUCAAUAGGAGCACGUUCAACCGGUAUGUUCAUCUGUUUAUACAAUUGCCUGCAAUAAAUUACAAACCUCAACCACAAUCAUCGCUGGAAAGUCUUUUGUGUGUCUGCAUCGAAACAUCACUCCCACCUGUGCCUGAUGGCAAAGAACAACAACAAGCCAGCUAAAGGGCAGCAAACCUAAGGUUGCCAUCAGACAAUAUUUCGCGGACCGGUCGAGAAGGACCGACGGGGGGGU